rnacentral:rRNA from 1 species
GGUCAAGCGACUAAGUGCAUACGGUGGAUGCCUUGGCGACUACAGGCGACGAAGGACGUGGAAGCCUGCGUUAAGCUGCGGGGAGCUGGCAAUCAAGCUUUGAUCCGUAGAUGUCCGAAUGGGGAAACCCACCCGCAAGGGUAUUCUUUGCUGAAUACAUAGGCAAAGAAGGCGAACCGAGUGAACUGAAACAUCUAAGUAACUCGAGGAAAAGAAAUCAACCGAGAUUCCGAAAGUAGUGGCGAGCGAAAUCGGACCAGCCUGUACGUUUUAGCGUAGAUAUCAGGGGAAUCUCUUGGAAAAGAGAGCCACAGUGGGUGAUAGCCCCGUACCUAAAAAUAUUUGCGUGGAACUAGGCGUACGACAAGUAGGGCGGGACACGUGUAAUCCUGUCUGAACAUGGGGGGACCAUCCUCCAAGGCUAAAUACUCGUAGUCGACCGAUAGUGAACAAGUACCGUGAGGGAAAGGUGAAAAGAACCCCGGGAGGGGAGUGAAAUAGAUCCUGAAACCGUAUGCAUACAAAAAGUCGGAGCCCGCAAGGGUGACGGCGUACCUUUUGUAUAAUGGGUCAGCGACUUACAUUCAGUGGCAAGCUUAACCGAAUAGGGAAGGCGUAGGGAAACCGAGUCCGAACAGGGCGUUCAGUCGCUGGGUGUAGACCCGAAACCGGAUGAUCUAUCCAUGGCCAGGAUGAAGGCUGGGUAACACCAGCUGGAGGUCCGAACCGACUAGUGUUGCAAAAUUAGCGGAUGAGCUGUGGAUAGGGGUGAAAGGCUAAACAAAUCCGGAAAUAGCUGGUUCUCCUCGAAAACUAUUUAGGUAGUGCCUCGUGUAUCACCUUCGGGGGUAGAGCACUGUUUUGGCUAGGGGGUCAUGGCGACUUACCAAACCAAGGCAAACUCCGAAUACCGAAGAGUGUCAGCACGGGAGACAGUGCACCGGGUGCUAACGUCCGGACACAAGAGGGAAACAACCCAGACCGCCAGCUAAGGUCCCUAAAUAUAGCUAAGUGGGAAACGAAGUGGGAAGGCUUUGACAGUCAGGAAGUUGGCUUAGAAGCAGCCAUCCUUUAAAGAAAGCGUAAUAGCUCACUGAUCGAGUCGUCCUGCGCGGAAGAUGUAACGGGGCUAAGCUAUAUACCGAAGCUGCGGAUGUGCGUAAGCACAUGGUAGAGGAGCGUUCCGUAAGCCUGCGAAGGUGUUCUGUAAGGAAUGCUGGAGGUAUCGGAAGUGCGAAUGCUGACAUGAGUAGCGUUAAAGGGGGUGAAAAGCCCCCUCGCCGUAAGCGCAAGGUUUCCUACGCAACGUUCAUCGGCGUAGGGUGAGUCGGCCCCUAAGGCGAGGCAGAAAUGCGUAGCUGAUGGGAAACAGGUUAAUAUUCCUGUACCACUGUCUAGUGCGAUGUGGGGACGGAGAAAGUUAGGUUAUCCAGGUGUUGGAUGUCCUGGUUCAAGCAGGUAGGCGUGCCCCUUAGGCAAAUCCGGGGGGCUAAGCUGAGAUGUGAUGACGAGGCGGCUUGCCGCUGAAGUAACUGAUACUCUGCUUCCAAGAAAAGCCACUAAGCUUCAGCUAGACGUGACCGUACCGCAAACCGACACUGGUGCGCGAGAUGAGUAUUCUCAGGCGCUUGAGAGAACUCGGGAGAAGGAACUCGGCAAAUUUGUACCGUAACUUCGGGAUAAGGUACGCCCCUAGUAUGUGACGCCGUACAGGCUGAGCAGAAUGGGGCCGCAGUGAAAAGGUGGCUGCGACUGUUUAUUAAAAACACAGCACUCUGCAAACACGAAAGUGGACGUAUAGGGUGUGACGCCUGCCCGGUGCCGGAAGGUUAAGUGAUGGGGUGCAAGCUCUUGAUCGAAGCCCCGGUAAACGGCGGCCGUAACUAUAACGGUCCUAAGGUAGCGAAAUUCCUUGUCGGGUAAGUUCCGACCUGCACGAAUGGCGUAACGAUGGCCACACUGUCUCCUCCCGAGACUCAGCGAAGUUGAAAUGUUUGUGAUGAUGCAAUCUCCCCGCGGAAAGACGGAAAGACCCCAUGAACCUUUACUGUAGCUUUGCAUUGGACUUUGAACACAUCUGUGUAGGAUAGGUGGGAGGCUUUGAAGCCGGGAUGCUAGUUCCGGUGGAGCCAACCUUGAAAUACCACCCUGGUGUGUUUGAGGUUCUAACCUUGGUCCUUGAUCAGGACUGGGGACAGUGCAUGGUGGGCAGUUUGACUGGGGCGGUCUCCUCCUAAAGCGUAACGGAGGAGUUCGAAGGUACGCUAGGUACGGUCGGAAAUCGUGCUGAUAGUGCAAUGGCAUAAGCGUGCUUAACUGCGAGACUGACAAGUCGAGCAGAUGCGAAAGCAGGACAUAGUGAUCCGGUGGUUCUGUAUGGAAGGGCCAUCGCUCAACGGAUAAAAGGUACUCUGGGGAUAACAGGCUGAUACCGCCCAAGAGUUCAUAUCGACGGCGGUGUUUGGCACCUCGAUGUCGGCUCAUCUCAUCCUGGGGCUGUAGCCGGUCCCAAGGGUAUGGCUGUUCGCCAUUUAAAGAGGUACGUGAGCUGGGUUUAAAACGUCGUGAGACAGUUUUGUCCCUAUCUGCCGUGGGCGCUGGAAGCUUGAGAGGGGCUGCUCCUAGUACGAGAGGACCGGAGUGGACGCACCCCUGGUGUACCGGUUGUCACGCCAGUGGCAUCGCCGGGUAGCUAUGUGCGGAAGAGAUAACCGCUGAAAGCAUCUAAGCGGGAAACUCGCCUCAAGAUUAGGCUUCCCUGGAGACUUGAUCUCCCUAAAGGGUCGUUGAAGACGACAACGUUGAUAGGCUGGGUGUGGAAGCGCAGUAAUGCGUUGAGCUAACCAGUACUAAUUGCCCGUGAGGCUUGAUCCUAUA